UGAUUUAAAAAGUUUUAUAAUAAUAAUUAAAAUAAAUUGAGUUAAUAUUAUUUACUCAUUCCAUCAGAUGAUUUCGCUCUCUUUCACAAAAGCACGACUACCUCCUCUCCCUCUUGGAUCUCAGAUCUGAAACGAAACCCUAGUCUCUCUCCCUCACAACGAAUGAACGACGUUCUCCCUCACAUCGAACCACGUUUUCCCUCUCAAACCCUAAGUCGUUCUUCCUCGGUGAAACGCAAAUUAUCUCCCUAUCUGCAAUGAUGAAAUCGAUUACGGCGAACUUGUUCUGCUACCACGCUGAAAUUCGUCCUCCAUUUUCAAGAUUUUGAUUUUGCCAAAGUUGAGUUACUAGGUUCUGGUGCUAAUGAAGACUCGCCUGUGGAAAUCUCAAAUUCGGAAAGUCAAUCUCCUGGAGUUAGUGGAACUAGCACUGUUGGUGGGACAUCAGAAUCAACAAAAAAACUAGACUAUGACUAUGAGUCUUUUUCCUCGGAGGAGUCCUCGGAUGAAGAAUUGACACCAAAAAGAUGUAGAACAAAAGAUUGAAGAAAGAAUCAAAGGAUGUGGACAACCUCUGAAGUGACAAAGUUGAUGUUAUGUACCAUAGCUGGAUUUGACUUCUCUUGACAGUGGAAAUAUGGAGAGGAUUGAUUCAACCCAGCGAUUUUAAGAAUGGUCUCCCGAAACCAACUUAUGAGUUAACUGUUAAAGGAGGAGACAAAGUUAAGCAUACAAAUAGAAGGAAUCGAGGUUACAAGUAUAAAUUUGUAACUUUUAUGGUUUAUAAUUGAUAAUUGAUAAUUCUAGGUAUAUGAUUUUAACUUUAUGGAAUGAUUUUAGUAUAUACAAGUAUAAUUUAUGCUAUUAGGUGUAUGAUACUCUAUUAUUAUAGUAUAAUGAUUUUAGUGUAGAAGUAUAAUUUUGUAACUUUAUGUUAUUAAUGGAUGAUUUUGGAUU